rnacentral:ncRNA from 18 species
CCACGUCCCGACGCAAUCCCCCCCGGCGCCGGGACCUUCCCUGAGCCGGGCUGCGGCGCCCCUCCCCCCGGGCGCCGUAGCCCGGCUCUUUU